rnacentral:misc_RNA from 1 species
UACACAAUUUUUCAGUGGCGGUAAGCUGGCCCGGUCGUUUAGCGCGUCGGACGGAAUUGCUUAGUUGUAUUUCGUCCGCCGUGACGUCCUGGGGAGGUUCGCUUCCCCGGGACGUCUUUGCGGUCGGAGUACUUCUGAGCAUUUUCGUUUGGCGCGCUAAUAUGGCAAGCUCGUCGCCUUUUCGAUCCCCUUUUGCAUUUGACCUAGUUUAAUCUGACCCCGUUUAUCCACCCCCAAAUCGAUAAUGACCAAGAGGAAGUGACGUCAGGGUCAGUGCCGAAAACUGAAACAAACAUUUAUUGGAAGGAAGUCUGUUGCUCGCAGAACUUCGUGUUUGGUACACCCUCAUGGAACUUUACCUUUAAUUAUGUUUUUAAGUAGAAGUCUGUCUUGUAUUGAUGUCAGGUGGCAGAGACGGAGCCAGAGAGUUUAACAAAUAGUGAAGAAAGGAAUAUAUAUAUAUAUUUGGUUGUCAAUGGGCAACCUGUGGCCUGACGAGGACUCCCAACGAAAAGUUAUGAGGUAUUGCUGUUGUUCUCAUCGAAGUCAACAAACUUUGGUCGGCUUCCAGAGAGUCGCGGCACUUUACUGGGUGGUAUGGAACUAAAGGCUCGGAAGAU